rnacentral:rRNA from 1 species
AUUGAACGCUGGCGGCAUGCCUUACACAUGCAAGUCGAACGGUAACAGGUCUUCGGAUGCUGACGAGUGGCGGACGGGGGAGUAAUACAUCGGAACGUGCCCGAUCGUGGGGGAUAACGAAGCGAAAGCUUUGCUAAUACCGCAUACUAUCUACGGAUGAAAGCAGGGGACCGCAAGGCCUUGCGCGAACUUGGCGGCCGAUGGCAGAUUAGGUAGUUGGAGGGAUAAAAGCCUACCAAGCCGACGAUCUGUAGCUGGUCUGAGAGGACGAGCAGCCACACUGGGACUGAGACACGGCCCAGACUCCUACGGGAGGCAGCAGUGGGGAAUUUUGGACAAUGGGCGAAAGCCUGAUCCAGCCAUGCCGCGUGCAGGAUGAAGGCCUUCGGGUUGUAAACUGCUUUUGUACGGAACGAAAAGACUCUGGUUAAUACCUGGGGUCCAUGACGGUACCGUAAGAAUAAGCACCGGCUAACUACGUG